rnacentral:rRNA from 1 species
CGGUUUUUUAAGUCUGAUGUGAAAGCCCACGGCUCAACCGUGGAGGGUCAUUGGAAACUGGAAAACUUGAGUGCAGAAGAGGAAAGUGGAAUUCCAUGUGUAGCGGUGAAAUGCGCAGAGAUAUGGAGGAACACCAGUGGCGAAGGCGACUUUCUGGUCUGUAACUGACGCUGAUGUGCGAAAGCGUGGGGAUC